GGUUGUAGGACUCCAAUAUGGUAGUUCUUUCAGAUAGUCGAAUGACUUGGAAAAGUCAGUCAAAGAGGGUAAAAACCCCGUAGAUGAAAUUUGGAAGGCACCUAGGAGGAUCCUGAGUACGGCGGAACACGAGGAAUUCCGUCGGAAUCCGGGAGGACCAUCUCCCAAGGCUAAAUACUCCCUAGUGACCGAUAGUGAACCAGUACCGUGAGGGAAAGGUGAAAAGCACCCCGGAAGGGGAGUGAAAUAGAACCUGAAACCGUGUGCCUACAACAAGUCAAAGCCCGUUAAUGGGUGAUGGCGUGCCUUUUGUAGAAUGAACCGGCGAGUUACGAUUGCAUGCGAGGUUAAGUUGAAGAGACGGAGCCGCAGCGAAAGCGAGUCUGAAUAGGGCGUUUGAGUAUGUAGUCGUAGACCCGAAACCAUGUGAUCUACCCAUGUCCAGGUUGAAGGUGCGGUAAAACGCACUGGAGGACCGAACCCACGUACGUUGAAAAGUGCGGGGAUGAGGUGUGGGUAGCGGAGAAAUUCCAAACGAACUUGGAGAUAGCUGGUUCUCUCCGAAAUAGCUUUAGGGCUAGCCUCGGAAUUGAGAAUGAUGGAGGUAGAGCACUGUUUGGACUAGGGGCCCAUCUCGGGUUACCGAAUUCAGAUAAACUCCGAAUGCCAUUCAUUCAUAUCCGGGAGUCAGACUGUGAGUGAUAAGAUCCAUAGUCGAAAGGGAAACAGCCCAGACCACCAGCUAAGGUCCCAAAAUAUAUGUUAAGUGGAAAAGGAUGUGGGGUUGCACAGACAACUAGGAUGUUGGCUUAGAAGCAGCCACCAUUUAAAGAGUGCGUAAUAGCUCACUAGUCGAGUGACCCUGCGCCGAAAAUGUACCGGGGCUAAACAUAUUACCGAAGCUGUGGAGUACACCUUUAGGUGUAUUGGUAGGAGAGCGUUCUAAGGGCGUUGAAGGCAGAUCGUGAGGACUGCUGGAGCGCUUAGAAGUGAGAAUGCCGGUAUGAGUAGCGAAAGACAGGUGAGAAUCCUGUCCACCGAAUGACUAAGGUUUCCUGGGGAAGGCUCGUCCGCCCAGGGUUAGUCGGGACCUAAGCCGAGGCCGACAGGCGUAGGCGAUGGACAACAGGUUGAUAUUCCUGUACUCGUUGUUUUUGUUUGAGCAAUGGAGGGACGCAGGAGGCUAAGGAAUGCAGACGAUUGGAAAUGUCUGUCUAAGCAGUAAGUCU
rnacentral:rRNA from 1 species